CGAGUCCAGAGUUUCUGUAGUCCAUUUUCUGUUUACUAGGGAAUGAGUAUUAGUUUUCCUCCAAUUGUUAGGUUUUCCCUCUGUAAGAGGUUACACAGUAAAUUUUGUUGCCUAGCAAAAGUCAUCAAAAAAGGCCAGAUAAAUCAGAUAGAUUGUAUGUAUGUGAUCUAAAGCAUUCAGGUAAGUCAAGUUCUGUGAUUACAAAUGCUUCAGAUCACAUGCAUACAAUAAAAAAGCAAGCAAACUCAGUAUUACACACACGGGUGCUGGCUUGAUAACGGAAACUAACGGAUAAUACCACAGUAUACAUUAAUACAAUGUAUCUGCUACUGGCAAGUCAUUCAAAUUGUCUCACUGAGAUUACUAGAUUAUUUAAAUAUGCAUGUGAUAUGGAUUAGAAAAUACCAGGUGAAACUAGCAAGUGGCGUGGUGAGCCAUCCCUCUAAAGGGUGAAUUUAGAAGCAGCAGUGCAGAGAGUUCCUCUCUUUCAUCCAUUUUAAAGACGUGAAUUUAUUGUCAGAGCUCGGCAUUAAAAUUUCCUAGACAGCCGUCAGACCGGUCUGAUGAGGAUUCUGCUCACCUGUCAGAAAAACACUGGAAAUUCAAAGAAUGCUACUUUAUCACCUGGGCUCCUUACUCAGUCAUCUUCUGUGGUUUUUCAGUAAGUUAAAUUAAAAUACUCUAAUCAGCUGUCACAGGCAGAUGCAGCUAGGUCACGCGUUUGAGCCACGCCUGUCCCAGUGGGGAAAGGCCAGCCUUUACACGUCGCGCAACCGCAGCGGAAUUGGGAUGAAGAAAACGGUACUCCUUCCUGCUUUUCUUUUAAAAGAUGGGCCACAAUAACUGAUUUGCAUUGUCAACACACUGACUCAGCCUUGACAAAUAAUUGAUGAAAACCUGAAAAGGUGAGAAUCUGAAUGCUUGAAUAUACAGGAAUCUGCUCCCACCUAGUAGAACAAGUCCGUGGAAUAAGAUGAAUGAGAAAGAAAUUUAAACCUAUGGGGGCCCAAGCAGAAGCAUGUGGUAUUUCUGUGCUGCUGGAACUGCAUUAUCAGCCAGUUCUUCCGCUUCCCCAGUUCUGACCAAUUUACAACAGCGCUAUACAACGUACUGCAAGAAUCCCAAAAGGCGUCCGUCUCACGCAUCGGCACAGCUGUCUUGGAAGCAGAUGGACACGAACCUACUCUAGAAGAGAUACCCGACUGGAGUACCGCGGAGCUCAUAGGAAGUGGGGAGACUGUACUUCGCUGCAACAUCAAUGACUUGGACUUUGAGGUGAUGGCAAUUUGGAUCCACUUUGUGAAGAAGCCCGAAAAGCAGUGUUGAACGCUUACUGAUUUACAGGGACGCAUUUUCUUUUACCUUGUUUUUUUUUGCUAGGUAAUUUACUUACAUUACAAAUGUACUAGAAAUGUCAGGAUACAGUGGUUCUUUGCACUCCUACAUCUCUUAGUAAGCCUCUAGAUAAAUCUUAUUUGUUGUAUCCAUAUGUCAACCAAGUACCUGUUCCAGAACUAAUCAUAUGUUACCAACCUCAAUAUUACAGAUUCAUGUAGAACUGAGUCGCAUGUAGUUCUAAUAAUUUGCUUUUAAUUAAAAGAAUCAGACUCCUGAAUAUCUUGCAUUCUUUCAACUUUUAGAAAGUUUUCUAUGUUAAAGACACCAUUUCAAAGUAAUUCACAACUGAAAAUCAUCCCAAACAUUUGACUAUAUGGAAGUAUAAUAACAAGAUGCUGUAUUAUCUCUUAACUUUU
ensembl:lncRNA